UUUGCUUUUCUCAUUGCCAUAACUACUGUGCAGGGGUAUAGAUCUUACAAAUUCUUUUCAUGAUUUCUUGUUGUCUUUCUUGUCUUGUUCUUCUCUGAGCUUUCAUUUCGUCAUCUGGGCCAGGAUUCUUCUAAAUGACAGUUAUAAUCUGGGAAAAAGAUUGGACUGUUGAUAGAACAUUCUGUUUAGGUAACUUCGGUCGUUUCGUCAAUUGUGCACGAUUGGCCGUGUGGGGAGGGAGCAUCACCUUGUUUGAUCAUGGUCUCCACUUUCCUUCUCAAGUUCCUGCACUUGUUAGUUGUUUGAUGGAUGUUAAGGAACAAUGCUUACUUGUAUCUUGCCGCUCUUGUGGCUUCCUCAUAGGUGGUGAUACUCAAAAUAAUAUCCAAAUUGUGUUCACAUGUACAAUUUUGCCAAGCACAUGGUCUGACGGAUCUCAGUAUAGGUUUGUUUUGGCUACUUGAUCUUUCUGCUUUGUCUUUUGGUUUGCGCAUGAGGAUUGUGAAACCACUUCCCUGUUGAUCUUACUCAUUGCUUGGCUCUUCCCUCCUUAAGUCUUGUACAGCCGUCGGUUCUUGUGGUGACUUUGACCAUGCCCUUGGGGGUCUCUUGAGUAGUGACUCCUGCACACUUUGUCCUGGCCUAAGUGCUGAUCCAACCCAUGUCUAGUGUACAGCUAUCACAUUUUCCUACCUAGGACAUUCAAAGACAAAUCAGCUCAGGAAAUCCAUCAGUUUCGUCUUCCCAUUUCAUGUUGGAGUUAGAUGCUUUCUCCAUUUGCUUCUUGUUACGUAUGUACUUGGAGAUGAAUGCCUCCUAGAGUUUGGUAAAAUUUGGGAUGGACCUCAAUGGAAGAUGUCUAAAUUAAAUUUAGUGUUGGUCCAAAUAGAUUUGAGAACACAUUGCACAUCAAUGCAUCCUCAUCAGCUUCAGGCACCAUUUCUAGUGAAAAGGGUAAGCAUGCUCCGACGGAUUUGUCUUACUUUGAAUAUUCAGAACUUAGAAGAAACACAAACAUCUAAAUUUUUUGGGCUUGCAAAACUCCUUGAGGCAAUUCAUCUUCUACUCCAUUUGUAUAAGCUUGAUCUUCCAUUUAGUCUUCUUUCAGCUUAUUGUUGCUUUGAGACCUUGCUCUGAGCCCACAGAAAAUUGUGAAUUUGUCUAGGUCCAAUCAUGUUGUCAUGGAUUUUGAUUAUUCAAAAUGUUUGGUUCCAGCAUUCAGCUUUCCAAGUCAUUCUUGAAGAACUGCUCAAUUUUUUUUAUUUUUUUUUUGUGCUUCUGGGCGAGAAUGGAGGUAUAGAAGACAUUUAUGUUCAAUUUAGGGUUUACACAAAGCGUUUAACGUAUUUUAACCGGCAUAUUUAAUGCAUAAUAGUAGUUCAACUGUGAUAACUUCAUAAAGUCAUUAAGUCAAAUGAUAUCUGGCCUGAAUGAUCCUAUGUUUCUACUAAUAGAUCGGUUUCGGUGGUUGAGCUGGUGUUGCCUUUUCCCUUGAUGCUUCUUGAGUCUUUAGGCCACAUUUCAGGUAGUUUGACUUGGGUGGACAUUCUGUCUGUUAUUUUAUAAUCCAAUUUUUCAGUUUUUUUUUAUUCCGUUGACGUCAUGGAGUUCAGCCUUGUGCCAUUUGAUUUGGCAAUAUUCUUGUUUAUUUGGUUCAGUCCAACUAUUAUGUUUAGUCCAAGUAAUAGGUUCACAUGGAGAAGGAUCUUGAGCAGUAGGUUGACAUGUAGAAGACUAAGCAACAGGUAGAUCCAAAGAAGUAUUUGGAUUCAGGAACUGUACAUGUAUUAUCAUUUUCCUUAAGUUUGGCAAGAUGGAAGGUUGGAUUCUCAACAUUAAAAUAUAACACCAACUCCCAAACUGACAAUAUAUAAACUCUAAUAAGUAUCUCAAUAUUAUAUGCUACAGUGGUGUUCUGAUUGCUCUGAAAUUUGUGCGUUGAUAGUGCUGUUGGUUGAAGUAGAAGUCCAA